GUCAAUGUCUCCCUGAUUACAUCCAAACCCCUGAGGGCAACUGAAUAACAGGCCUUAUGGAAAGUUUGAAAGCUUGGCUUCUUCACUGUGGCUGUUUUAAAAUCAAUACUGUACCUGAGGCUAUCUAGAACCCAUCUGUCCCAGCUCAGAGGCAGUCCAACUUUAUAUUGAACUUGAAAUAGAAGGUGGAGGUUGUGGCGAGGGGGGCGUGGUAAAGGAAGGUCUGCAGCGGGGGAACGAGUGCGGAGAUGAGCGGUGAUAAGGAGCACGGCCAGAGACCAGCCAUCCACCACCAUCGAACGACCCAACAGAAAUGGUUUUAGAGCCCACCGCAGACAAGGGAGACCAGCCUGCCCCAAUCGACAAGACUGAUUCAACAGAGAGGACAG